AUUUUUCUGGUAGAAUUUAAGUUGACAAUUAAAAUCAAUUAGUUAUUAAUCAGUUAACUGUUUAGAGAGAAGAAUUAAUCUGAUUGGGAACAAUUAAACACUCCAAAGUAAAAGAAAAUUAAACAAAUUAAAUGAUCAAAUUUCUCACUGAUUAUUACAAUUGAUUUGAUUGUUUUUCGACUGAUGAGAGAAAUAAUUUAACUAUUCAAUGAAGAUUUGACAGUUAAUUAGAAACAAUCAAUUUGAAAGUUGAAGUUAAAUCAACAAGAUGAUGGAUUAAGAAAACAAAAACCUAAUUCUUUAAGGUCAAGCCACAAAUCGUAACUGAUUUUACAACAAUUUACUGAUUACUGAUAUAAAUUAACUACUCAAUAACCUGUCAUAUCCACAAUAUAUUAACUGUUGUUCAUUUGAGAUUAAAUCAGUAAUGAACAUUUAACUGAUUAAAUGAGUUCUAAUCAGUGAUGAUUGAUUUCUCUGUGUUCAUAUUUAUGUUUCUCUCUCAGAUUAUUAUUAUGAUACAUUCAAUUAUCUCAAAUCAGAAAUGAUGAUCAGAGUGAUUGUUUCUAUUUCCAGUUAAUAUCAUGCUCAGAAUUGAUGAUUAUUAAAAAGAUUCUUGAAAUCGAUAAAGUUUCAUGUUUCAAAAAAAAAAGAUUCAAAAGGUUGAGAGAGUAAAACUUGAAAGUGGAAUAAAAAUCAAUGAUAAUCAGCUGAUGGAAGAGGAAGAAGAUGAAAAGAAAGAGAAAUUCGAAUCGUUUCUCAAAUGAUCUUAAUGAUUUAUCGUCAUCAUCAUGGUAACAACAACGAACAAGAUUAAUUCUAUUCAGUUUCCAAUUCCUGUUAACUUUUUCUUCUUCUUCUUCUUCUUGUCUGAAAGGAAAAUAAAGAGAACGAAUAUGUUACAGGGUAACAUGGAAAAAAGAAGAAGAAGAAGAAGAAGAAAAGUUCUAAACUUACAUCAUCUUCCAAGAAUUCAUCAUCUUCUCAUCAUGUUAAUGAUGAGGAGAAAAAAAUCUCUCAGAAGAUAAAACUCUGAUUCUUGUCUUAAAAUAUUCUAUUUCUCAGUUAUUCUGUCACUUUACAUGGUCGUUUCCUCGGAAGACAUGAGAACGAAAAAAUUGUGACGACUGACAACUCGAAUUGGUUUCAUCUUCUUAUGAUGACGUUUUCGAAAUAAUUUCAACAAAAAAAUGGAGAAAAAUAUGAAGAAAAAAAAAUGAGAAAAACGAUUAAAAAGUUCUGAUGAUGAUUAAGAUGAUUACGAUUAUAACGAUUUACCACCAACCCAGAAUGACUUCAACAACGAUUAUAAUGAAAUGAAAGCGUCAAGACAAUCAACAAAGUUAACGGAUUAAUCAACAGGAUUAGCCAACAAUCAAGAAUAAUCUUAUCCUGGAAAAUGGAGUCAAGCCCAAACACCAUCAACAAUUAACACUAUUAGUUGAUUGUUAAGCAACAAAUCUGAUUACCUAAUAAGAUUUAACUCUAUUAUCCAAUAUAAUUCAUGAUCUACAAUUAACUAACCAACCCAAAAGAGUAAUAAACAAAAUCCAAGGACGGAAAAGGAAUCAUAUUUUACUCUUAGUAGACAUUAACUCUCACCACCUCCUCCCUCCUUCCUCCUUCCUAUUUCCCACCCUCUUCGUGUCUCCACCUCGAAGAAAAACCCAAAGUGUAUCUCCCAUUGAGCUCAAAGGAUCUUCAUCUCAUCCUCCCCACCCUCUCAUCAUCAUCCCACCGAUGAAUCUCAAUCCCUCUGGUUACAUUUUCCCGGAACCAUAAUAAUCAUAAUCCAUAACAAAUCAAUAAUUUAAACGCACAAAUUGUGAUAUAUCUUGAUAACCUUGACGAUUAUCAUCAUUCUGGGAGUGUAACUUUAUCCUCGUAACUAUUAUUUUACUUCAUCAUGAGACAAUUUAACUCUAGAUUCAUGGUGAUAACUCAUGAUAACAAUCAACUUUUUCAUGGUAAUUUAAUGAUCAUACUCAAUGUAACCAUUUGUCCACAUCUAAUGUCCACUCAUUAAAUUGAAAUCCUUUUUUUUUAUCAUAUAUGAAUCAACAUUUCCCUGAACAUUAUAUAUUUAGAUUCAGUUCGUAACUGAAUCUAUGUCACCACAUUUAACGACAAUCUGAUGAUGAUUAGCUGAUUGUUGAUUGGCACUUGAAGGUUAAUUAAAACUGCUUACCAAUGGUAAAUUGUAUUCGAAGCUAAAUUAAUAAGAAAUAAAUACGCAAAUCAUUUCAAUCAUCAUCUUCUCAAUCAAUACGAAUCAUCAUGUCUUCCAAUUGACACAAUUUCUUUGUUUCUACUUAGCAUCCUCAUCUUCAUCUCCAUCAAGGACAUGAGAGCAAAGGAAAUCGUUAAUAUGGUUCAAUCUACGAAAAUAUUAUCGACUCUCCUUUUUGGCCCUUCCACAUCUCGAAAAAUUAUGGUUUAGGUGGUGAUCGUCUUUGGGUAGGGUCAAAGGUGGCGGUGGUUCCAAUACAAUGGGCUUCCUAUUGGCUCCCUCUUGGUCAUCUCCUUUUCUUUGUGGGGUCAUCAUCACGGGUUUUCCUCCUUUUCUCGUGGUUUAUGAUCCAUAGUAAAAAAAGAUGCUUAUUUCGGAAUAUUGUGACUCACUUGAUUUCUUUACAACAAUUUAUUCGUAUCAUCAGUUUACAUCAUCAUCAUCAUCAUCAUUUAAUCCGCUGCUGACCAAUAUCACUUGACCAUUGAAAGUAACUGUUGUAACAAAUCAAUCUCCAUACUAAAUGACCAUUUCAUAACUGUAAAUUUAUGUUAAUUUUAUAAGAAAUGAUUCAUGAAAAAAAUUUUCUAAUACAUUAACAAAAUAUAAUAAUGUUAA